UACGUAGGGUGCGAGCGUUGUCCGGAAUUACUGGGCGUAAAGAGCUCGUAGGUGGUUUGUCGCGUUGUUCGUGAAAACUCACAGCUUAACUGUGGGCGUGCGGGCGAUACGGGCAGACUGGAGUACUGCAGGGGAGACUGGAAUUCCGUGGUGUAGCGGUGAAAUGCGCAGACUAUCAGGAGGAACACCGGUGGCGAAGGCGGGUCUCUGGGCCGAUACUGACGCUGGAGGAGCGAAAGCGUGGGGAGCGAACAGG
rnacentral:rRNA from 1 species